GCAGCNAUGCCGCGUGAGGGAAGANGGCCYUUGGGUUGUAAACCUCUUUYUUCGGGGAAGAAAAUGACUGUACCCGAAUAAGAANGUCCGGCUAACUUCCUGCCANCANCCNCGGUAAUACGAAGGGACCUAGCGUAGUUCGGAAUUACUGGGCUUAAAGAGUUCGUAGGUGGUUGAAAAAGUUGGUGGUGAAAUCCCCUAGCUUAACUCUGGAACUGCCAUCNAAACUUUUCANCUANAGUUUGAUAGAGGANAGCAGANUUUYUAGUGUNGAGGUGAAAUUCGUAGAUAUUAUAAAGAAUACCAAUUGCGAAGGCAGCUUUCUGGAUNAUUACUGACACUGANGAACGAAANCAUGGGUAGCGAAAAGGAUUAUAUACCCUCCUAGUCCAUGCCGUANACAAUGUGUGUUAGACGUUGGAAAUUUAUUUUCAGUGUCGCANCGAAAGCGAUAAACACACCGCCUGGGGAGUACGACCGCAAGGUUAAAACUCAAAUGAAUUGACGG
rnacentral:rRNA from 1 species